GACGAACGCUGGCGGCGUGCUUAACACAUGCAAGUCGAGCGGUAAGGCCCUUUCGGGGGUACACGAGCGGCGAACGGGUGAGUAACACGUGGGUGACCUGCCCUCAGCUCUGGGAUAAGCCCGGGAAACUGGGUCUAAUACCGGAUAUGACUCCAUGACGCAUGUUGUGGGGUGGAAAGCCUUGUGCGGCUGAGGAUGGGGCCCGCGGCCUAUCAGCUUGUUGGUGGGGUGAUGGCCACCAAGGCGACGACGGGUAGCCGGCCUGAGAGGGCGACCGGCCACACUGGAACUGAGACACGGUCCAGACUCCUACGGGAGGCAGCAGUGGGGAAUUUUUCGCAAUGGGGCAACCCUGACGAAGCAACGCCGCGUGGGGGAUGAAGGUCUUCGGAUUGUAAACCCCUGUCGACUGGGACGAAUGUAGAGCGGCCUAAUACGCCGAGCUAUUGACUGUACCGGUGGAGGAAGCCACGGCUAACUCUGUGCCAGCCGCCGGCGGUAACG
rnacentral:rRNA from 1 species